AUUUCACAUCAUUUUCUCGCAAUGAGAUAAAUCAUCUUGUAGGUAAAAUGUACUUGAAGUAGGCUGGAAUGCUCUCAAUAGCAUCAAGUUCUUGGUGCUAUUAAGUUUUUGGUCCUUGGAUAAAGAAAUGUACGGUUAGCAUGAUGUGGGUCCCCUAGUGUUGAGUGAGUUGUUGGUUGAAUAGUAUAAUCUAACGGAUGGAAAUAAUUAAAUAAUUAAAUUUAACAGCGGAAAACUCGAUAGCACUAAGUGCUUGGUGCUAUCGAUAGUAUCCCAACCAAAUUCAAUAUACUUUCCUAUCAAAUCAUAAAUGCCUAGAUGCUAAGAUCUUUCAACAAGCAAAAAACAAACUUCUUUCUGUAUAUCAUAUAAGAAAAUUUUUAUUUGGAAUUAGUUAUCAUUAGAUUACUUAUUUGAACAUCUAAUCAUGUUUUAAUUAUUAUAAUACAUAAUUUGACGUUUGUUCAAUCUACGAGGCAUUCUCUCCUUUGUUCUCUUCACGUAGUUGGCUCUAUCUCCCUUUCCUGUUUUCCCUCUCCAGAUACGUUUCUCUCUCCUAUUUUCUCUUUCUCUCCUUCUGUCUCUCUCUAUCAUAUCUUAUAAGAUCUCAUAAUAAUCUCAUAUUCCUCUCUCUUCUAGGUAAUUAUUAUGCUCUCAGGGCUCUAACUCUCAUUCGUACAACUCUCUUUUUCUUUUUUGAUCUUUCUAUCGUAUCAUAUAUCAUAUAUUAUAGAAUCUUACAAAAUCUUCUAAAAAUUUUUAUAAUUUUUUUUCUCUAUCAAAAUAAUAAAAUUCUUUUAAUUUUUCUCCCAUCUCUUUCUUCCAAUCGUAUCUCCAUUUUUUUUCUCUAUCAAAACAAUAAAAUUCUUUUAAUUUUUCUCCCAUCUUUUUCUUCCAAUCUUAUCUCCUUUUUUUCUCUCCUCCUUUUUACCUUAUCCACCUCUCUCUCUCUCUCUCCUCCUAUGCCUCUCUCUCUCCCUCUCUCCU
rnacentral:lncRNA from 1 species